rnacentral:tRNA from 1 species
GGGCCCAUAGUUCAUCGGUAGAAUGCGUCCAUGGCAUGGACGAGGGCGGGGUUCAAUUCCCCGUGGGUCCA